CUGCAGCUCAAGUGGUAGCCGCUAUUAUUGGGCCUAAAACGUUCGUAGCCGGUUUAGUAAAUGCUUGGGUAAAUUGUGUCGCUUAACGAUACGAAUACCGGGUAGACUGCUAAACUUGGGACCGGGAGAGGUUAGAGGUACUCCUGGGGUAGAGGUGAAAUUCUGUAAUCCUGGGGGGACCACCAGUGGCGAAGGCGUCUAACCAGAACGGGUCUGACGGUGAGGGACGAAGCCCUGGGGCGCAAACCGGAUUAGAGACCCGAGUAGUCC
rnacentral:rRNA from 1 species